UGAGAUGACCUGUGGAUAGGGGUGAAAGGCCAAUCAAACUGAGAGAUAGCUCGUUCUCCCCGAAAUGUUUUUAGGAACAGCGUCGCAUAUAGAAGUUUAUUAGAGGUAGAGCUACUGAUUGGGCUAGGGGGCUUCACCGCCUACCAAACCCUGACAAACUCCGAAUGCUAAUAAAUAUCUGCGGCAGUGAGGCUGUGGGCGCUAAGGUCCAUGGCCGAGAGGGAAAUAACCCAGAUUAGCAACUAAGGUCCCUAAUACAUAGUUAAGUUGAUCAAACGAGGUGGGACUUCUAUAACAGCCAGGAUGUUUGCUUGGAAGCAGCAAUUCAUUUAAAGAGUGCGUAACAGCUCACUGGUCGAGAGGUCCUGCACGGAAAAUAAUCGGGCAUCAAACUAUGAACCGAAGUUCUAAACUCUAACUUGUUAGAGUGGUAGGGGAGCAUUGAAAUCUGCAUAGAAGGUGUAUGGCGACAUAUGCUGGAGCGAUUUCAAAAGAAAAUGUAGGUAUAAGUAACGAUAAAAGGAGUGAAAAACUCCUUCGCCGAAAGUCUAAGGUUUCCUGAUCAACGUUAAUCGGAUCAGGGUUAGUCUGGUCCUUAGGAGAACCCGAAAGGGGCAUCUGAUGGAAAGAAGGUUAAUAUUCCUUCACCUACUAUACAUUAAAAGUGACGGAGAAUGCUAGCUACAUAGGCAGACGGAUGCUGAGUGAAUCCUUCGGGUGAAGCGUAGUAGUGAAAGUUCUUCCAAGAAAAGCGAGUAUAGCAGCCAGUACCGCAAACCGACACAGGUAGACGGGAUGAGUAUUCUAAGGCGCUCGGGUGAGCCGUGGAGAAGGAACUAGGCAAAUUAACGCUGUAACUUCGGGAUAAAGCGUACCGAUUUCGGACGGUCUCAGUAAAAUGGUUCAACCAACUGUUUAGCAAAAACACAGGGCCCUGCAAAAUCGUAAGAUGACGUAUAGAGCCUGAUACCUGCCCGGUGCUGGAAGGUUAAGGAAGGAUGUUCGGCGCAAGCCAAAGCUUCUGACUGAAGCCCCAGUAAACGGCGGCCGUAACUAUAACGGUCCUAAGGUAGCGAAAUUCCUUGUCGGGUAAGUUCCGACCUGCACGAAUGGUCUAAUGAGUUGAACACUGUCUCCUCCACGAGCCCGGUGAAAUUGUAGUAUCGGUGAAGAUGCCGGUUACCCGCCACGGGACGGAAAGACCCCGUGAACCUUCACUACAACUUUGCAUUGAUUUUGAGCAACCGAUGUGUAGGAUAGUUGGGAGACUUUGAAGCAGUGUCGCUAGGCAUUGUGGAGUCAACGUUGAAAUACCAACCUUCGUUUGCUUAGAACCUAAUCCCUAAAGGGAGAAAGUGCAUGGUGGGUAGUUUGACUGGGGUGGUCGCCUCCUAAAAAGUAACGGAGGCUUGCAAAGGUACCCUCAGUACGGUUGGUAAUCGUACGCAGAGC
rnacentral:rRNA from 1 species